CAAAUAAACUCCUUGGUCUUAUUAUUAUUUCAAUCUAUGUUGUGGUGGUUGCAAAUUGCAAUGAGAAAUGAUAUGUGGGAAUUAUGUGGAAAUGUGACUUAAAAAGAAAAUGAGGCAAAAAGUGUUAAUUGGUUACCUUUAAUUUUGGUACA